CAAACGGCUCUUUUAAGAGCCACCAAUUUCUCAAAAGAAUACACA
rnacentral:ncRNA from 1 species